rnacentral:lncRNA from 1 species
AGAAAACGUAAAUUCAUCACUUCAAAAUGAUUAUUCUAUCAGCAUGGGAGUGCUCGAAUUGCAUAUGGGCACACGAGGCAUUAUCGAGUUAAAAUCCGUCUGGAUAUUGCCAAAUAUUUACAACGCUUCUCUGAAUCUAUACAGCAAUUUACUGAAUAUUUCGUAGUAAGAUAAAAAUCCAGGGUUCACAUUAUGAGGUUUAUAUACAAAUAUAACAUUUGCAAAGCGUUGCUCCAAGACUCGACUCGAGAAAUAACGAUCAACUCUAUAGAUAAUAGGAAAAUAAAAUUAGUGUAUAGUGAGUAUUACACGAUAAUCACGACAUAUUAAUUUCUUCAACAUCUAACCAGUCUGGAGAGUCUUUAUCAGAAUUGUAAUUUUUUUUUCUGAAAUUAGCAGGCAUAUCUCCAUCAUCUUCUUCAAGAUCACUAAAUGACACGUCAUCCUCGUUCUCAACUGGGAUGUUGGUUCCACCGGAUCCUUGUUUUGGGGGGGGUGGGGGGGGGGGUGUUGUAAUCAAACCUUAUUGAAUCAAAUAUAACAGAAACCACCCCCAACUACUAUCAGUGAUUUACACGCAAAUCCAAGCUUCCAGGGACAAAUAUUUUAUGACUUGCCCACUAAGAGAAUUAAGCCACAUCAAAAAUAAAUAAUUAUUAAAUGAAUCAAGAAGAAAAGGGAAAUGGGAAGAAUAUAACAAACAGAAGAUGCGUAAAUGGCAUGCAAGGGAAUGAUAUGGAGGGAAAAAAAUGUCAUCAAAGGCCUAGCACUUUAAUACAUAUCCUUUUAGAAAGACUAGAGAUCAAUGACUAAAGUUUGUUCUGACAGAAAUGCUGUUACUUAAAAUAUUGUUCUUGGUGCUCAUUUUCAGUUGGGUUCGGUGGUGGUUUUUUCUUUCUUUCUUUUUUCUUUUUUUGUUGGGGGGGGGGGGGGGGGGUUUUAAGGAUACGGGCUACUCGACCGUUACCGUGAGGAGUCGAGAUCGACCCAAGUUAUUGUUCGACACUGUUUGUACUCUGACCGACAUGCAAUACGUAGUAUUCCAUGCAGCCAUUAGCUCCAAGGAAUCUAUAGCUGUUCAGGUAAAAGCACAAUAUAGUUUAUAUCUUUGCACAGAUUCUGUGAGUGCGUUCUUUGUUUCUAAUCUUUUAACUUCUGAAAAUCCCAGGAAUACUACAUAAAGCACAAAAGUGGACGCCCUUUGGAUUCAGAAGAUGAGAAGCAGUUGGUUACCCAGUGUUUGAUAGCAGCUACGGAAAGGAGAAUUUCUCAUGUACGUUACAGAAACUAACGUUUUUCUCCCACUUGUUUACAAAGAAAAAUUUAAUAAUCGUAAUUGUACAUAAUUGUGCAGGGGUUAAGACUAGAUAUUUGCACAGAAAAUAGGAUAGGACUAUUAUCUGAUAUCACACGAGUAGUACGAGAAAAUGGAUUAUCUAUAACAAGGGCUGAGAUCGGUACUCGGGGUGAGAGAGCAGUUGGCACAUUCUAUGUAAAAGAUACUUCGGGAGAAAAUGCUGAUCCAGAAACACUUGAAAAGGUGAGACGAGAAAUCGGAAGUGCUGUUGUAGUGGUAAACAAAUCUUCGAGCUCCCCUUUGCGAGCAACAUCCAGAACAUGUAAAAGCAACAGCAGCGAAGUACAAGAAAGGUCGAGGUUUUCCCUGGGAAGCCUGUUGUGGUCGCACCUAGAGGGAAUUUUGAGCAAUUUCAGACCCAUAAAAUCCUGAAGUUUUAUAGAUGGAAUAAGGGCUGCAUUUACCUGUAAAUACCGAUUAGCACAUGUGAACUAGUUUCUCAUUCAUCUGUAAAUAAUAAGAGCCAGCAGCAGCCCCUACAGGAAAUGAGAGUUUAAAUAAAACAAUAAAACAAUGCAUGUGUCUAUCUGCUUUGUUUUCCCUUCAAGAAAAAGCAGUACCAGAGUCCCAAAAAUUCUCUUUUUUGGGCAAAGAUUUAUUCUUUGCAUUUGCAGAAGUUCGUGACAAAGUAUUUUGCAAAACAAUAGUCCAAGAAAACGUAAAUUCAUCACUUCAAAAUGAUUAUUCUAUCAGCAUGGGAGUGCUCGAAUUGCAUAUGGGCACACGAGGCAUUAUCGAGUUAAAAUCCGUCUGGAUAUUGCCAAAUAUUUACAACGCUUCUCUGAAUCUAUACAGCAAUUUACUGAAUAUUUCGUAGUAAGAUAAAAAUCCAGGGUUCACAUUAUGAGGUUUAUAUACAAAUAUAACAUUUGCAAAGCGUUGCUCCAAGACUCGACUCGAGAAAUAACGAUCAACUCUAUAGAUAAUAGGAAAAUAAAAUUAGUGUAUAGUGAGUAUUACACGAUAAUCACGACAUAUUAAUUUCUUCAACAUCUAACCAGUCUGGAGAGUCUUUAUCAGAAUUGUAAUUUUUUUUUCUGAAAUUAGCAGGCAUAUCUCCAUCAUCUUCUUCAAGAUCACUAAAUGACACGUCAUCCUCGUUCUCAACUGGGAUGUUGGUUCCACCGGCACCACCAGUUUCAGAACUUUCUUCUUUCAACCAGUCAUCACUAUCAUCCUCAUCCUUCAUUUCCAAAACAUUAGAGGGAUCAGAGUUCAACUUUUGAUCCUUGACUUGGUCAACCACCUCUUCUUCAAUCAUCGCUUUGUCAAUAAUUGGGAUUUCAGUGUUCUCGACUGCGUGCUUCACUAUUUCAGAAGCAGCUGUAGCAGUGGAAGUGCUUAAUUCAAGGGCAGAUGAUUUUUCAGGCUCAUUUUCAGAAGGAAUAGUAGAUGAUGCAUAAAGGGAGUCUUCAUGAGAAGAUGCGGUGGCAUCUUUUGGAUCGGAAGAUACUUUUCCAGGGAAGUCUUCUAGCGUUGUUGGUGUCUGGUUCUUUGACUCCUGUGCAAGCAAGGCUCUGGCUUUUAUUAUCUGCUUGUCAUGACAGUAAUGGAGGUCAACAACCUUGUCACUCAAGGAGAAAGAAAAAACCGCACAAGUUUUAGCAGCAAGUUCAUUGACAAGCCAUUUAUCCUUGUUUUGGGGGGGGGGGGGGGGGGGGGGGGAACANNNNNNNNNNNNNNNNNNNNNNNNNNNNNNNUGUUUUUUUUUUUUUCUUUUUUUUUUUUUUUUUGGUGGGGGGGGGGGGGUUGAGUUAAUACAAAAUUAAGCUAAAAUUGGUCCACUUAUGCACUAAAUAAUCGUGAAGUCAAGAAACUAUAGAAAUUAUUCAGAUAGAUGUAUUUUUUAAUUGAGGUUCAGAAAUGCACUAGAUUAUCAUAGACAAAGCAGAAGGAAUGACGAUAAAGUGAGCUCUGUGCUCUAUUCAUAUGUAUAAACUAUAGAAAUUAUUCAGAUAGAUGUAUUUUUUAAUUGAGGUUCAGAAAUGCACUAGAUUAUCAUAGACAAAGCAGAAGGAAUGACGAUAAAGUGAGCUCUGUGCUCUAUUCAUAUGUAUCUACUUUUCUAGCGAUACUAAAAUGACAAUGUAACAUACCAAAUUCACUUAUAGAAAAGCACAAUACUUGUGAUCAAAGACAAUUAACUCAGACAAAAAUGUUUACCAACUGUAAUCUAAUAAAAUGACAAAUAUUAGAAGCAAUGCACGCCAUAGUCCUUUUCUAACCAGCUCCAACAUAAAUUAACUUUUAAUUGAAUACGCAAUAUGCAAGAAGAAGAAGAGACCUGAGAUGUUGAUAAUAUUUCAGCAUCCUCUUUAUCCAGUCGAGGGUGCAGGAGUACAAAAUAGAUCUUCCAGAAGCAACUUUCACUCAUGUAUCCUGGGCAAAGCUCAAACCUCAAAGCAGAUAAUCUUGGGGCAAGAUGCUCAACAGCUAAGGCGUGUUCUUGUUGGGCAUCAGACAUGUCAAAAUCUAAUAUCAAGAAAAAAAGGAAAAAACAAAUCAACAUUCUGUCAUAUUGAAUUCCCAUUUCCUGAAUUAAUAAUAAUUUUCUUCCAUAUCGUCAUUCAAAAUACUUUUGGAGUUGACAAAAGUCUUGAGCAUUGAAGUAUGCUAACGACAGGUUCUCUCUACCAAAAGAUGCAUAACUGGCUCUUUUGAGCAAUUUGCAUUCCAUGACUAGCUAAGUAUAUGAGAGAUUCUUAGGUUAACAACAUAAUACUUCGAUAAAUAUUUAAUAACAGAUAGAAUAAAAUAACAAAAUGAAUGAAAGAGUAAGGGGGCAUAGCACUAUACCAAAGAAGUGGAACUAAACCAUGAAUCCAUGGUCUUACUACACAAUUAUACAAGUCUUUUCAUCUCCAAUAAAUCAUAGAAGUUUCUUACUAUGUCCAUUUAUUCAAAUAUAUUCCACUUUACAUUUAUUGAUUUCCUAGUACAAUGUCUAAGAAAAUCUGCCUUAAAUUCAUUAAGCAUUUAUUUGAAAGAUGAUGCCAUCAUUGAAAGAUCAUCAAUUUGCUCCGCAAUAAAAUUAAUCCAAUUAAUCAGCACACUGUCAACUAGUAGAUAAACACUCCUUAGUUACUAAUCUGCACUUCACUAACCCCCUGAAAUUUCUAUAUAUAUACAAUUAUCAUACCAUCAUCAUCACUGUCACUUUCGGGCAAUGGGAAAUCCAACCAAGUUUUGGGAUGCAUCGCAAUAUCCCUCGCGAAAGCCACCACUUCCUCAGUCACACCAACUACCUUUUUACUCGCCGAAUCAAAAUCCUCUGUAUUGCCUGUCCAAGAUAAAAUUUAAAUGAAUAUAUGUGCAUUUCUCUAACACCUUGUGCUUGUAGAUGAAAUGAUUUGCAUUGAAUACCUUCCUUACCGAUUUCAUCAUCAGAUUCCAACUGUAGGAAAUUCGAGGCCAUUUUGGUAAUUUCCGUCACGUUGAUGUUAUUCGACAGCUUCGAAAUUCCGCUCCUGAACCUUCCCCCGAUCUCAGCUAAGUCAGUACGGAUGCCCGAUUCACCAUCCGGGUCGGGCUCCUGAUUCUGUUCCGAGUUGUUCGGAUCGAGCUGUGGCGGUGGGGCUAGAAAUGAGGCUACACCCCAGAACUGGUUCUUGAGGGUUUUGGUCAGUUCCGAGAGGUCUUCUUUGACGCCGCGCGACGGCGAGGUUGGAGAUGAAACAUCGUUGUCUUGGAGGAGGUUUUCCUGUUCGGGUUUGAUGCCCUUGAUGGCGUCAUCUUCCUCAUCGUCGAAUUUGAGCGUAUUAUUGAUUGAUCGGGCAAACCAAGACAUUGUAACUUGGAUCGAGUUCGGUUUCGGAUCGCCGGCGAUCCACUGUGCGGACUGGGGACGGAUCUCCUUGAACCUGUAUGGUGAACAUCAACACUGGAAAAGCAUUAAGGGAUCAGGAGACUCGUUAAACGACACAGUUUAGAAUAUGCUGUCAAAUGUGUAUUUCUCACUUCACCCCUCUAAUUUUCAAUUGUGUCAUACAAACCCUUAUAUUAUUCUUUUGUCGCAAAUGGGUCGGGGUGAGAGAGCAGUUGGCACAUUCUAUGUAAAAGAUACUUCGGGAGAAAAUGCUGAUCCAGAAACACUUGAAAAGGUGAGACGAGAAAUCGGAAGUGCUGUUGUAGUGGUAAACAAAUCUUCGAGCUCCCCUUCGCGAGCAACAUCCAGAACAUGUAAAAGCAACAGCAGCGAAGUACAAGAAAGGUCGAGGUUUUCCCUGGGAAGCCUGUUGUGGUCGCACCUAGAGGGAAUUUUGAGCAAUUUCAGACCCAUAAAAUCCUAAAGUUGUUAUAUAUGGAAUAAGGGCUGCAUUUACCUGUAAAUACCAAUUAGCACGUGUGAAUUAGUUUCUCAUUCAUCUGUAAAUAAUAAGAGCCAGCAGCAGCCCCUACAGGAAAUGAGAGUUUAAAUAAAACAAUAAAACAAUGCAUGUGUCUAUCUGCUUUGUUUUCCCUUCAAGAAAAAGCAGUACCAGAGUCCCAAAAAUUCUCUUUUUUGGGCAAAGAUUUAUUCUUUGCAUUUGCAGAAGUUCGUGACAAAGUAUUUUGCAAAACAAUAGUCCAAGAAAACGUAAAUUCAUCACUUCAAAAUGAUUAUUCUAUCAGCAUGGGAGUGCUCGAAUUGCAUAUGGGCACACGAGGCAUUAUCGAGUUAAAAUCCGUCUGGAUAUUGCCAAAUAUUUACAACGCUUCUCUGAAUCUAUACAGCAAUUUACUGAAUAUUUCGUAGUAAGAUAAAAAUCCAGGGUUCACAUUAUGAGGUUUAUAUACAAAUAUAACAUUUGCAAAGCGUUGCUCCAAGACUCGACUCGAGAAAUAACGAUCAACUCUAUAGAUAAUAGGAAAAUAAAAUUAGUGUAUAGUGAGUAUUACACGAUAAUCACGACAUAUUAAUUUCUUCAACAUCUAA